rnacentral:rRNA from 1 species
GGUUAAGCGACUAAGCGUACACGGUGGAUGCCCUGGCAGUCAGAGGCGAUGAAGGACGUGCUAAUCUGCGAAAAGCGCCGGCGAGGUGAUAUGAACCCUUGACCCGGCGAUGUCCGAAUGGGGAAACCCAGUGUGUUCCGACACACUAUCGUUAACUGAAUACAUAGGUUAACGAGGCGAACCGGGGGAACUGAAACAUCUAAGUACCCCGAGGAAAAGAAAUCAACCGAGAUUCCCCCAGUAGCGGCGAGCGAACGGGGAGCAGCCCGGAGUCUGAAUCAGCUUGUGUGUUAGUGGAACGGUCUGGAAAGUCCGACGGUACAGGGUGAUAGUCCCGUACACGAAAAUGCACAUGCUGUGAACUCGAAGAGUAGGGCGGGACACGUGGUAUCCUGUCUGAAUAUGGGGGGACCAUCCUCCAAGGCUAAAUACUCCUGACUGACCGAUAGUGAACCAGUACCGUGAGGGAAAGGCGAAAAGAACCCCGGCGAGGGGAGUGAAAAAGAACCUGAAACCGUGUACGUACAAGCAGUGGGAGCACCUUCGGGUGUGACUGCGUACCUUUUGUAUAAUGGGUCAGCGACUUAUAUUCUGUAGCAAGGUUAACCGUAUAGGGGAGCCGAAGGGAAACCGAGUCUUAACUGGGCGUUAAGUUGCAGGGUAUAGACCCGAAACCCGGUGAUCUAGCCAUGGGCAGGUUGAAGGUUGGGUAACACUAACUGGAGGACCGAACCGACUAAUGUUGAAAAAUUAGCGGAUGACCUGUGGCUGGGGGUGAAAGGCCAAUCAAACCGGGAGAUAGCUGGUUCUCCCCGAAAGCUAUUUAGGUAGCGCCUCGUGAACUCAUCUUCGGGGGUAGAGCACUGUUUCGGCUAGGGGGCCAUCCCGGCUUACCAACCCGAUGCAAACUACGAAUACCGAAGAAUGUUAUCACGGGAGACACACGGCGGGUGCUAACGUCCGUCGUGAAGAGGGAAACAACCCAGACCGCCAGCUAAGGUCCCAAAGUCAUGGUUAAGUGGGAAACGAUGUGGGAAGGCACAGACAGCCAGGAUGUUGGCUUAGAAGCAGCCAUCAUUUAAAGAAAGCGUAAUAGCUCACUGGUCGAGUCGGCCUGCGCGGAAGAUGUAACGGGGCUAAACCAUGCACCGAAGCUGCGGCAGCGACGCUUAUGCGUUGUUGGGUAGGGGAGCGUUCUGUAAGCCGUUGAAGGUGUGCUGUGAGGCAUGCUGGAGGUAUCAGAAGUGCGAAUGCUGACAUAAGUAACGAUAAAGCGGGUGAAAAGCCCGCUCGCCGGAAGACCAAGGGUUCCUGUCCAACGUUAAUCGGGGCAGGGUGAGUCGACCCCUAAGGCGAGGCCGAAAGGCGUAGUCGAUGGGAAACAGGUUAAUAUUCCUGUACUUGGUGUUACUGCGAAGGGGGGACGGAGAAGGCUAUGUCAGCCGGGCGACGGUUGUCCCGGUUUAAGCAUGUAGGCGGAGGUUCCAGGUAAAUCCGGUACCUUGUUAACGCUGAGGUGUGAUGACGAGGCACUACGGUGCUGAAGUGAUAAAUGCCCUGCUUCCAGGAAAAGCCUCUAAGCAUCAGGUAACACGAAAUCGUACCCCAAACCGACACAGGUGGUCAGGUAGAGAAUACCAAGGCGCUUGAGAGAACUCGGGUGAAGGAACUAGGCAAAAUGGUGCCGUAACUUCGGGAGAAGGCACGCUGAUAUGUAGGUGAAGUCCCUGCGGACGGAGCUGAAAUCAGUCGAAGAUACCAGCUGGCUGCAACUGUUUAUUAAAAACACAGCACUGUGCAAACACGAAAGUGGACGUAUACGGUGUGACGCCUGCCCGGUGCCGGAAGGUUAAUUGAUGGGGUUAGCGGCAACGCGAAGCUCUUGAUCGAAGCCCCGGUAAACGGCGGCCGUAACUAUAACGGUCCUAAGGUAGCGAAAUUCCUUGUCGGGUAAGUUCCGACCUGCACGAAUGGCGUAAUGAUGGCCAGGCUGUCUCCACCCGAGACUCAGUGAAAUUGAACUCGCUGUGAAGAUGCAGUGUACCCGCGGCAAGACGGAAAGACCCCGUGAACCUUUACUAUAGCUUGACACUGAACACUGGUCCUUGAUGUGUAGGAUAGGUGGGAGGCUUUGAAGCGUGGACGCCAGUCUGCGUGGAGCCGUCCUUGAAAUACCACCCUUUAAUGGCUGGUGUUCUAACGUAGACCCGUGAUCCGGGUUGCGGACAGUGUCUGGUGGGUAGUUUGACUGGGGCGGUCUCCUCCCAAAGAGUAACGGAGGAGCACGAAGGUUGGCUAAUCCUGGUCGGACAUCAGGAGGUUAGUGCAAUGGCAUAAGCCAGCUUGACUGCGAGCGUGACGGCGCGAGCAGGUGCGAAAGCAGGUCAUAGUGAUCCGGUGGUUCUGAAUGGAAGGGCCAUCGCUCAACGGAUAAAAGGUACUCCGGGGAUAACAGGCUGAUACCGCCCAAGAGUUCAUAUCGACGGCGGUGUUUGGCACCUCGAUGUCGGCUCAUCACAUCCUGGGGCUGAAGUAGGUCCCAAGGGUAUGGCUGUUCGCCAUUUAAAGUGGUACGCGAGCUGGGUUUAGAACGUCGUGAGACAGUUCGGUCCCUAUCUGCCGUGGGCGCUGGAGAAUUGAGGGGGGCUGCUCCUAGUACGAGAGGACCGGAGUGGACGCAUCACUGGUGUUCGGGUUGUCAUGCCAAUGGCACUGCCCGGUAGCUAAAUGCGGAAGAGAUAAGUGCUGAAAGCAUCUAAGCACGAAACUUGCCCCGAGAUGAGUUCUCCCUGAGACUUUAAGUCUCCUGAAGGAACGUUGAAGACGACGACGUUGAUAGGUCGGGUGUGUAAGCGCAGCGAUGCGUUGAGCUAACCGAUACUAAUGAACCGUGAGGCUUAACCUU